rnacentral:sRNA from 1 species
UAUGACUUAAAUGAGUUGAUGGGUCAAAUGAGUUAUUGGGUCAAUUGGUUUGAUGAAUAAAAUGAGUUGGGUUGUAAUGGUUAAUGGUUUCAAUGGUUACCCAACUAACGCAUCAAGUUUUGUAAAAUUGAAUUAAACCAACUAAAAUCUCUAAACCAAUGCCAAUGUAAGUUUAACCAUCACAUCUAAACCAAUUUAAUAAAAUCAAUAUUUUCCUAAAUUUCUUAAAUAUACAAGCGAUGAAAUUGAAAAGAAGUAAACUCGUAAUUUUUCCACCAAAAAAAAGUAAACCAGUGAUUUUCUCACCAAAAAACGUAAACCCGUAAUUUUCCCUCCAAAAACGUAAACCUGUAAUUUUCCCGCCAAAAAAAGUAAACCCGUGAUUUUACCGCCAAAAACGUAAAUCCGUAAUUUUUCCCGCCAAAAAAUGUAAACCUGUAAUUUUCCCGCCAAAAACGUAAACACAUGAUUUUCAUGCCAAAAACGUAAACCCGUAAUUAUGCCGCCAAAAACGUAAACCCGUAAAAAGUAGAAUCCGUAAAUAUCCUAAGUUUGAUGAUAAUAAAUUAAU